AUGAUCACACUCUUUGUGGCUCUUUACUCUCUGCUUUGUCUUUGCACAACUGGAAACACUUCUGUCAUCAAGGAGCUUCAAGUGAAAACAGUAAAGCGUGAAGAAGCUGUAACUAUGGAGUGUAACAUUAGUGAGGUCAAAAACAAAAAUAGUUUAGCUUGGUACAGACAGAGUUUUGGAAAAGUGCCUCAGUUUUUGGCGAGACAAUACAGUAACCCUCAGGGCUACAUAUUUGCUGAGGGAUUUACUGAUAGUCGCUUCAGUGUUACUGUAAAGGACCAAAAGUUUGAUCUCAAAAUUAACAACAUGAGAGAAGAUGAUAAAGGAGAAUAUUUCUGUGGAGAAGUUGAUGAAAAUUCACUGAAGUUCACAUCUGGAACACGUCUGCAGUUUGAAGGUGAAGAGAUGAAACCCUGUCCUACACCUGGAACACUUAACAAGAACACACACUCUGUUACACACCAGGGUUCAAACAGCAGUGAUGGAGAAGGAAAAACUUCUGAUAUGAAGAAUCUUCACGUGAAAAUAGUAAAACUUGGAGAAGAUGUGUGA